ACAUGAUUUUAUCGGCAGUGUCGCAAAAUAGAUGUAACUUGUAAUUCCACGGCUCAAUUAUAGACGUUGGUGGCGGUAGUGUACGGUGAUUUUUACGGUGUCACGAAAAAGAUCGGCGUGGCCGCUCUCAGGUUCCUCUUUGCUAGGAAUAAGAUCAAUCGGGUGUAAACGCUCUUUAAAUUCACUUCACUUUGAAGUGAAUAGGGAUUGAACGGCUGGGUGUAAACUAGCCUGUCACUGAUUUGUUCUAGGGGAAAGCUUACGUAAUCGAUGCCCAAUGCAACAGAAUUUAGUGCACGAGUUCACUAAACUGGCUGCACUGCGUUUAGAGUCAGUGCAAGCAAUGCAGGGCAAACGAAAUUCAAUCAGUAAUUUUGAACACCAUAAAAUAUUAAUCAAUAAUAGCGUUUUCUUUGCUGCGCUACCGUCCACUAAUGCAAGACUUAGACAGUAUAGCGUGUUUCUAUGACUGGUGGCGGAUGAAUUUAUUCGAUGUAAUGUAUUUCCGUAGCUGCGUAGUACAAGUUUUAUGCACGCAGUAUGAUUUUGCUACACUGUUUCAAAUGAAAAAUUCUAUGCAAUUUAAAACUGCCACAAAUUAACUGACCUGGCCUGAAAUAAACACGACAGCAUGAAGUGUGUGCAUGUACAUACACCACAUGAGUGUAGUGCAGCUCUCACAUGCAACUGGUGCAAGGCUACACCAAGGCGUUCGAAGAGCACGCUAUCGCAAAAGACACUAACGCUGACAGACUCGUUCGAGGAAACUGUAAGGAGCUUACGCUUUCGAGCUCCCUAAACGAUACUUCAAGUAAAUUAUCGUUCCAAUAUUGCUAUAAACUUACCAUGAAUUACCAUAAAAAAAA